rnacentral:rRNA from 1 species
UACGAGUACAGCGGCGGACGGGUGAGUAACGCGUAGGAAUCUACCUAGUAGAAGGGGAUAGCCCGGGGAAACCUGGAUUAAUACCGUAUACCUCCUUCGGGAGAAAGAAGGCCUCUCUUUGAAGCUUUCGCUACUAGAUGAGCCUGCGUAAGAUUAGCUUGUUGGUGAGGUAAAGGCUCACCAAGGCAACGAUCUUUAGCUGGUCUGAGAGGACGAUCAGCCACAUUGGGACUGAGACACGGCCCAGACUCCUACGGGAGGCAGCAGUGGGGAAUAUUGGACAAUGGGCGCAAGCCUGAUCCAGCCAUACCGCGUGUGUGAAGAAGGCCUUCGGGUUGUAAAGCACUUUAAGCAGGGAGAAAAAGUUAUAAGCUAAUACCUUAUAACCUUGAUGUUACCUGCAGAAUAAGCACCGGCUAAUUCCGUGCCAGCAGCCGCGGUAAUACGGAAGGUGCAAGCGUUAAUCGGAAUUACUGGGCGUAAAGCGCGCGUAGGUGGUUUGUUAAGUUGGAUGUGAAAGCCCUGGGCUCAACCUAGGAACUGCAUCUGAAACUAACUCACUAGAGUACGAUAGAGGGAGGUAGAAUUCAUAGUGUAGCGGUGGAAUGCGUAGAUAUUAUGAAGAAUACCAGUGGCGAAGGCGGCCUCCUGGAUCUGUACUGACACUGAGGUGCGAAAGCGUGGGUAGCGAACAGGAUUAGAUACCCUGGUAGUCCACGCCGUAAACGAUGACAACUAGCUGUUAGGAGACUAUGUCUUUUAGUGGCGCAGCUAACGUUUUAAGUUGUCCGCCUGGGGAGUACGGCCGCAAGGUUAAAACUCAAAUGAAUUGACGGGGACCCGCACAAGCAGUGGACCAUGUGGUUUAAUUCGAUGCAACGCGAAAACCUUACCUACUCUUGACAU